AAACUUUGAGACAUUGUUUAAGCCAGAUCAAACUUGUUAUAUAUUCCCUCUGUUCCUAAAAUAACGAUGUUUUGAAUUUUUCACACAAAUUAAGAAAAGUAAUUUUAAUAUU
rnacentral:sRNA from 1 species